UCGUAAAUAAACAAAAUGUAUUGUUUUGAUUUAUGUGCUUACUCUUAUUUAAUUAUGGGACAUUUGCUAAAAACAACCCAAAUAUUCAAGUCAAAUCUAAAAGUGUACCCCACUUUCAGUCAAAUACAAAACCAACCUAAAGAGGUAGUGAAAGUACUAUUUAACUCUUAUGACCAAACAAAAAAACAGAAUGUAUUUUACGUUUAUAUCCUUCGGAAGUCUACACAUAAUAAAAGAAAUCUACAUAUAUAUAGACUUCAUACGAAGUCUACCUUAUAGACUUAUUUUGUAGUCUACACUCUAAUUUGAUCAAAUAAUUUAAUUUUUAAAAUGUAUAAAAAUAAUUAUUGUGAUAUUUUUAACUAAUCAUCAAUAUAAUGGAUAAUACAAAGUAAAUAAAUUAAAUUUUCAUAUAAUUGAACAAUUUUAAAGAAUAUAUACUAAUUUGGUUACCAAGUGUUAGACAAUGUUCAUAGUUUAGAAACAAAAGGUUCUAACAUGUUAUAUCUCAUUAGAUUUCUAAGGGUUAGAUUUUAGAUUGAGAUUUUUUUUGUUUUAUUACUUAAAUUUAUAUAUUAAUGAUUAGUAGUUUAUAUUUUGUAUAUUUGGAUAUUUGAACCAAUAAUUGAGAUUUUUUAUUACCAAGCAAACAUUUAGGAUUUGUGAUUUGUGGUUUAGGGUUUAGUAGACUUACAAUAAAGUCUACUUCACUAUAGACGGCUUUUUCAGUCUACUUUAGUCGGUAUUUACAAAAAAAAAUUAUUUUAAAAUUAAAUUUUGUUAUUUAAGAUAAAAAUAUGUCAUUUUAUAUUUUAACUAUUAAAAUAAUGAAAUAAAUUUAAUAAAUUAUAUAUUAAAAUUAAUAAAACAAUAACUUAUUAAAGGAAUGAAGAAAAAAAUCAUAAAAAGGUUACAUAUUAUAUUUUAAAUAAUAAAUAUAAGAAAAAUAAAAUUCUAGUAGACUUAUAAAUAUGUCUACCAAACCGUAAAUAUUUUAACCUAACCAGAUUUUAACCAAAAUAAUUUAACUUAACCAAAAUUAAACCAUAAAAGUUUAACCUAACCGGAUGUAGUACCCAACAUAUAAAUACAUUUUAUUUUGUGAAAUUUGGUAAAAACACAAAACCUAGCGCCGUUGCGGCUCUCUCUUCCUUCUUCUUACUCGCCGUCCUCUCCGAAUCACCAUCUCCACCUCGUUUCCGUCCACCUCGUCACUACCGUUCCUCUACUCCUGUUCAAGAGUCUCGGGAGUGAGGACAGUGGUGAGCCGGAGAUGAGUAGCGGCGGUGAGGAGACAGAGCUUAACUUCGACUUCCAUGGAGUUCUUCCGUGUGUUCGAACUCGAGAGAUGAGAUUGAGUUGGAUUCAAAGGAAACGAAGACGCGGUGCGACGGAGGGUGAAUAUAGCUGCUGAACCACAUUUUCCAAAACUGUACGUUAAGGCUUGGGCACUGAUGAAUAACUGCCACAAACCAGCUGAGGACGACAUUGAAAGUUUGAAUAUAGAGUAACCGAAGAGAUUCAAAAGGAUCGUCUCACAAACAAUACUCAUGAAGCAUGUCUCCCAAUUCAUGAAAACUGUAGGGUUUUAACAGCUCAUGGGUCAAAUACAAUCGUGUAUGUAACAGAUGAUCAUGUUGAUAUCAGUACAAGUAACCGAGACACUGGGAGAUCAGCAGUAGAGUUGUCUUUAUAUCGUUUUCUAAGCAGUAGAUUUUGUUAUUGAUGAAAACUGAGUUGUCUUGUUUUACUUAAUCAGAAAAACACAAAAAAGAUUUGAGUAAACUAUUUUGUAUCAGAAUGAUGUAUUGUUGGUGUAACAAAUUUGUGUAGUUUGCUUCUAGGAGAUUUCUCUUAUAAUUUUAUGUAAAAGAAGACUAAUAUUGAAGUCUACUCAGCAUAAAGUAGACUUGGUUAACACACUUGAUGUUUUGUAUUCGUCA